rnacentral:rRNA from 1 species
GAUGAACGCUGGCGGCGUGCUUAACACAUGCAAGUCGAACGGAAAGGCUCCUGCUUGCAGGGGUACUCGAGUGGCGAACGGGUGAGUAACACGUGGGUGAUCUGCCCUGCACUUCGGGAUAAGCCUGGGAAACUGGGUCUAAUACCGGAUAGGACGUUGGUUUUGAUGCCAUUGUGGAAAGUUUUUCGGUGUGGGAUGAGCUCGCGGCCUAUCAGCUUGUUGGUGGGGUAAUGGCCUACCAAGGCGUCGACGGGUAGCAGGCCUGAGAGGGUGUAAGGCCAAAUUGGGACUGAGAUACGGCCCAGACUCCUACGGGAGGCAGCGGUGGGGAAUAUUGCACAAUGGGCGCAAGCAUGAUGCAGCGACGCAGCGUGGGGGAUGACGGCCUUCGGGUUGUAAACUCCUUUCGCUAGGGACGAAGCGAAAGUGACGGUACCUGGAGAAGAAGCACCGGCUAACUACGUG